AUACGGAGGGUGCAAGCGUUGUCCGGAUUUAUUGGGUUUAAAGGGUGCGUAGGUGGCGUGUUAAGUCAGUGGUGAAAGCCUGCAGCUCAACUGUAGAGGUGCCAUUGAUACUGACAUGCUUGAGUAUGGACGAGGUAGGCGGAAUUUGUGGUGUAGCGGUGAAAUGCAUAGAUACCACAAAGAACACCGAUAGCGAAGGCAGCUUACUGGACCAUAACUGACACUCAGGCACGAAAGUGUGGGUAGCGAACAGGAUUAGAAACCCUAGUAGUCC
rnacentral:rRNA from 1 species